rnacentral:lncRNA from 1 species
CGGAGACUCUGGAGAAACUGUGAAACUGAUUUACCAUCAUCACCGUGUACCCCUGUGUAGGCACCACAUUCCUGCCUUUUUCUAUCACUUUUUGAGAACUGAAAAGAAGACAGACAUUGUACACCCAGAGAUCAUUAGAUGUUUGGAAGGAUUUAUAUCUGAGCUGCCACGCCUUAGAAGAGCAGCGGAGACAAUUUACUUAUUGCUGUCCAUGAGAGUCGAUAUAUUUAAGAAGCUUUUAAUAGUAAAAUCAUUUUUUAAAAGUUUUUGAUUACUUCAUAAAUACUUUUUCAUCCUCAGCUUAAGAACACAAUCAAUCCAUUUUAGACUUACAGGAACUCGGAGACUGAACCAAGUAGUGCAGGAGCUGUGUAAGGAAAAUACACCUUUUCACCUGGAAGUUGACUAAAACUCGAUUUACAACAAAGAAGAAACACUGAAGGUAAAUGUAUAUCACCACAUCACAUCUACAAGUGCUGAAUUUGAUAUAUAAUUUAUCAGUAGAACAUUAAAUUGAGUAAAAAAAAAUAAUUCUUUAUUGUUUUAUAGAUGCCAGCUCGUCGUUUUGACUACCCUGAAGGAAUGGAGGAUGAGGAAAAGAAAAUAUUCAAACGUAAAACUCUGAUGAAAAACCCAGAGAUUCUCUAUGAAGACACAUAUCAAACUGGUAUAAGAUGCAACCUCAUUUUCUUCACCCAAUCUGGAGCAGACUACAGGGCUGCAAUAGAAGAUGCGUACCCUCAAUCCAAGGAUAUUCAAAUGGCCAACAAACUGAAACUUGAGCUCUCUGAUGGAGGCACUGUGUCCAUAUUUCCCAGUGGAAAGAUUUUAAUUCAAGUCUGUAGGUUUGAAGAAUUAUAGUUUUGUACCCACUGAGGUCCGUCUCAUAUCUAAAGGUCGGUUUUCCACAGAGAUGAAUGAGAUUUAAUCUUCAGCCACUCAAAUUAAGAUGUCACAACAUCAGCAUUCAGGUACAUGUCCUGCAGAUCAGUUAGGUUAAGAUAAAACAUGGGAUAUUAUUUUAUAGUUUAUUGAUUUUGCUUUGCCUUUGCUAAGUUAUAUAAAUAAAAUAUCAUGCAUACAAACGUCUAACCUGUGGACAUUCCCAUGUUUGAUGUUGAGCUACGU